AUUGAACGCUGGCGGCAGGCCUAACACAUGCAAGUCGAGCGGAAACGAGUUAUCUGAACCUUCGGGGAACGAUAACGGCGUCGAGCGGCGGACGGGUGAGUAAUGCCUAGGAAAUUGCCCUGAUGUGGGGGAUAACCAUUGGAAACGAUGGCUAAUACCGCAUAAUGCCUACGGGCCAAAGAGGGGGACCUUCGGGCCUCUCGCGUCAGGAUAUGCCUAGGUGGGAUUAGCUAGUUGGUGAGGUAAUGGCGUCACCAACGGACGACCGAAUCCCUACGCUGGUCGUGAGAGGAGUGAUCAGCCACACUGGAACUGAGACACGGUCCAGACUCCUACGGGAGGCAGCAGUGGGAAGUAUUGCACAAUGGGCGCAAG
rnacentral:rRNA from 1 species